CGAAUGCUGACAUAAGUAACGAUAAAGCGGGUGAAAAGCCCGCUCGCCGGAAGACCAAGGGUUCCUGUCCAACGUUAAUCGGGGCAGGGUGAGUCGACCCCUAAGGCGAGGCCGAAAGGCGUAGUCGAUGGGAAACAGGUUAAUAUUCCUGUACUUGGUGUUACUGCGAAGGGGGGACGGAGAAGGCUAUGUUGGCCGGGCGACGGUUGUCCCGGUUUAAGCGUGUAGGCUGGUUUUCCAGGCAAAUCCGGAAAAUCAAGGCUGAGGCGUGAUGACGAGGCACUACGGUGCUGAAGCAACAAAUGCCCUGCUUCCAGGAAAAGCCUCUAAGCAUCAGGUAACAUCAAAUCGUACCCCAAACCGACACAGGUGGUCAGGUAGAGAAUACCAAGGCGCUUGAGAGAACUCGGGUGAAGGAACUAGGCAAAAUGGUGCCGUAACUUCGGGAGAAGGCACGCUGAUAUGUAGGUGAAGCGACUUGCUCGUGGAGCUGAAAUCAGUCGAAGAUACCAGCUGGCUGCAACUGUUUAUUAAAAACACAGCACUGUGCAAACACGAAAGUGGACGUAUACGGUGUGACGCCUGCCCGGUGCCGGAAGGUUAAU
rnacentral:rRNA from 1 species